UGGAUCAUGGCUCAGAAUCAACGCUGGCGGCGUGCCUCGGACAUGCAAGUCGAACGCGAAAGUCCCCUUCGGGGGGCGAGUAAAGGGGGCGCACGGGUCAGUAACACGUAGGUGAUCUACCUACGGCUGGGGAAUAACAACCGGAAACGGUUGCUAAUACCGCAUAAUGCAGCGGCACCUAAUGGUGACAGUUGUUAAAGCGGGGGAUCGUAAGCCCUCGCGUCUGAAGAGGAGCCUCCGACAGAUUAGCUAGUUGGUAAGGUAAUGCCUUCGCAAGGCGAUCAUCUGUACCCGGCCUGAGAGAGGCGGUCGGCCACACUGACACUGACAUACGGGUCAGACUCCAUACGGGAGGCAGCAGUCGGGAAUUUUGGGCAAUGGGCGAAAAGCCUGAACAGCAAUGCCGCGUCAAGGACGAAAUCCUUCGCGGAUGUAAAUCGCAAGAACGGGAAGAAUAAGUAAGAGCUAACAUCUCUAACGAUGACGGUACUGUUUGUAAGCUCCGGCUCACUCCGUGCCAGCAGCCGCGGUAAUACGGGGGGAGCAAGCGUUGUUCGGAUUUACUGGGCGUAAAGGGCGCGUAGGCGGCCACCGCAAGUCAGUUAUGAAAUCUCUGGGCUUAACCCAGAAAGGUCCAGUCUACUGGCAGCAAGCGUGCCGAGGGGCAACUGGAAUUCACGGAGUACCGGUGUAAUGCAUAGAUAUCGAGAGGAACACCUGCGGCGAAUGCGGGUUGCUGGGCU
rnacentral:rRNA from 1 species